AUCUCUCAAUCGCUCUGGCUUUGUUGACAGUGCGAUUGGACUUGGGGGCUUGCCGGCGUAGUCGGCUUCCCUUGAAUGUAUUAGCUUGGGUCUUGACCGCAAGGAUCCUCGGUGUGAUAAUUAUCUACGCCGUGACAACUUGUGGCGCGUGUGACCGCACCCUCGGGUGGCGUGUGACCGGACCGUCAAGCUUACAAUCGUCCUCGGACAACUUCUUGAC
rnacentral:misc_RNA from 1 species